GGCUAUGGGCUCCAUCCUGAGCAUGUUACAGUGGUGUAGGAGAUACGGGGUCUGGAGCAUGCAGUGGGAUGUAUGACUUGGGAGGUAUGGGCUCCAUACUGUGCACAUGGAUGUACCAUACAGGAGGUAUGGGCUCCAUACGUGCACAUGGAUGUACCAUACAGAAGGUAUGGGCUCCAUACUGUGCACAUGGAUGUACCAUACAGGAGGUAUGGGCUCCAUACCGUGCACACGGAUGUACCAUACAGGAGGUAUGGGCUCCAUACCGUGCACACGGAUGUACCAUACAGGAGGUAUGGGCUCCAUACCAUGCACACGGAUGUACCAUACAGGAGGUAUGGGCUCCAUACCAUGCACACGGAUGUACCAUACAGGAGGUAUGGGCUCCAUACCGUGCACAUGGAUGUACCAUACAGGAGGUAUGGGCUCCAUACCAUGCACAUGGAUGUACCAUACAGGAGGUAUGGGCUCCAUACCGUGCACAUGGAUGUACCAUACAGAAGGUAUGGGCUCCAUACCGUGCACAUGGAUGUACCAUACAGAAGGUAUGGGUUCCAUACUGUGCACACGGAUGUACCAUACAGGAGGUAUGGGCUCCAUACCGUGCACAUGGAUGUACCAUACAGGAGGUAUGGGCUCCAUACCAUGCACAUGGAUGUACCAUACAGGAGGUAUGGGCUCCAUACCAUGCACAUGGAUGUACCAUACAGGAGGUAUGGGCUCCAUACCGUGCACACGGAUGCACCAUACAGAAGGUAUGGGCUCCAUACUGUGCACACGGAUGUACCAUACAGAAGGUAUGGGCUCCCAUACUGUGCACACGGGAUGUCCGGUGUUCAGGUGUGGGCCAUAGAGACCCUACAGAGGUCUCUAUGGGGUGCGGUGUGGCACGGGGUGCCCUGGGCAGGUUGGGGUACCCCAGCGCCCCUCACCCUGGCUGGG